rnacentral:rRNA from 1 species
ACGAACGCUGGCGGCGUGCUUAACACAUGCAAGUCGAACGGAAAGGCCCUGCUUUUGUGGGGUGCUCGAGUGGCGAACGGGUGAGUAACACGUGAGUAACCUGCCCUUGACUUUGGGAUAACUUCAGGAAACUGGGGCUAAUACCGGAUAGGAGCUCCUGCUGCAUGGUGGGGGUUGGAAAGUUUCGGCGGUUGGGGAUGGACUCGCGGCUUAUCAGCUUGUUGGUGGGGUAGUGGCUUACCAAGGCUUUGACGGGUAGCCGGCCUGAGAGGGUGACCGGCCACAUUGGGACUGAGAUACGGCCCAGACUCCUACGGGAGGCAGCAGUGGGGAAUAUUGCACAAUGGGCGGAAGCCUGAUGCAGAAACGCCGCGUGCGGGAUGACGGCCUUCGGGUUGUAAACCGCUUUCGCCUGUGACGAAGCGUGAGUGACGGUAAUGGGUAAAGAAGCACCGGCUAACUACGUG